UGCUCUACAACAGGCGUUCCCGUUGUGGCCCAGUGGAAAUGGACUUGACUGGUAUCCAUGAAGAUGCAGGUUUAAUCCCUGGCCCCAUUCAGUGGGUUAAGGAGCUGGUGUUACUCUGAGCUGUGGUGUAGGUCACAGAGGCAGCUCAAAUCCCACACUGCUGUGGCUGUGGUGAAGGCUGGCAGCUGUAGCUCUGAAUCGACCUUAGCCUGGGAGCUUCCAUGUGCAGCUGCUGCAGCCCUAAAAAGCAAAAAAACAAAAACAAAAACAAAAAAACUCAGCUUUACAACAAUGUCAUUGUAUUUAUAGCUCUACUGUUCUUCAUACUGUUGUCAUUUAUUUUACUUCCAUAAAUGACAUGGGUAUAAACUCAUGAUCCAGCGCUAUUUUUAUUUUUAUUUUAACUUGGUCUUUUUGUCUUUUAGGGCUGCACUGGCAGCAUAUGGAGGUUCCCAGGGGUCAAAUCAGAACUGUAGCCCCUGGCCUACACCACAGCCACAGAAAUGUGGAAUCCGAGGCACGUCUGCAACCUACACCACAGCUCAUGGCAACGCCAGAUCCUUAACCCACUGAGCAAGGCCAGGGAUCGAACUCGCAUCCUUAUGGAUACUACUCAGGUUUGUUGCCACUGAGCCACAAUGGGAACUUCUGUUUUUACUUUAAAAAGCCAAUUUAUUUAAAAAAAUUUAAGACAAGAAAGAACAUUGGUACUGUACCCACAUAUUUGCCUUUUUUAUUUUUAUUUUUUUUAUUAUUUUUUUUUUUUAGUUUUAGCUUUUUUUUUUUUUUUUUUUUUUUUGGUCUUUUUUUUUUGCUAUUUCUUGGGCCGCUCCCGCGGCAUAUGGAGUUUCCCAGGCUAGGGGUCUAAUCGGAGCUGUAGCUGCCAGUCUAUGCCAGAGCCACAGCAACGCGGGAUCCGAGCCGCGUCUGCAACCUACACCACAGCUCACGGCAACGCCGGAUCGUUAACCCACUGAGCAAGGGCAGGGAUCGAACCCGCAACCUCAUGGUUCCUAGUCGGAUUCGUAAACCACUGCGCCACGACGGGAAUUCCAUAUUUGCCUUUUUUAGUGUGCUUCUUUCCUUUCUAUAGAUCUGAAUUUUCAUCUCUCCCUCCAGCUUGAAGACUUCAGCAUUUCUUGGGAUAAGUGUCUGUUAGCUACAACUUAUUCCUGCCUUUGCUUAUCUGAAAAUGUCAUUAUUUAAUUAAGUUUAAAAAUUGGGGUAAAAACACACCUAAAAUUUACCAUUUUAAAGUAUACAGUUCUGGGAGUUCUUGUCAUGGCUCAGCGGAAAGGAUUCUGACUAGUAUCCAUGAGGAUGCAGGUUUGAUCCCUGGCCUUGUUCAGUGGGUUAAGGAUCCAGCAUUGCUGUGAGCUACAUGUAGGUAGCAGAUGCAGCUGGGAUCCUGAGUUGCUAUGGCUGUGGUAUAGGCCAGCAGCUGCAGCUCUGACUUGACCCCUAGCCGGCAACUUCCAUACGCCUCGGGUGCAGCUCUAAAAAGCCAAAAAAAUAAUAAACUAUACAGUUCUGUGCCAUUAAGUACAUUUACUUUUUUUUUUUUUUUUGUCUUUUCGCCUUUUCUAGGGCCGCUCCCGCUGGAGGUUCCCAGGCUAGGGGUCUAAUUGGGGCUGUAGCCGCUGUCCUGCACCAGAGCUACAGCAAUGAGGGAUCCAAGCCGCGUCUGCAACCUACACCACAGCUCACGGCAACACCGGAUCGUUAACCCACUGAGCAAGGCCAGGGAUCGAACCCGCAACCUCAUGGUUCCUAGUCAGAUUCGUUAAUCACUGCGCCACGACGGGAACUCUCAAGUACAUUUACAUUUUUAUGCAAACAUCACCAUCAUCCAUCUCCAGAGAUUUUUCAUCUUUCUAAACUAAAACUCUGUACCCAUUAGGCACUAACCCCCAAUAGAAUAGAGAGGCCAGACAUAAGCCCUGGCAUGUAUGAUUAAAAUUACUUUUAACAAGGAUGCUAAGACCAUUUAAUGGGGAAACGAGUCUUUUCAACAGUGCUAGGAGGAGUUCCCGUCGUGGCGCAGUGGAAAUGAAUCCAACUAGGAGCCAUGAGGUCGCAGGUUCAAUCCCUAGCCUUGCUCAGUGGGUUAAGAAUCCAGUGUUUCCGAGAGCUGUGGUAUAGAUAGCAGAUGCAACUUGGAUCUGGCGUGGCUGUGGGCGUGGGCCAGCAGCUACAGCUCCGAUUAGACCCCUAGCCUGGGAACCUCCAUAUGCCUCUGGUGCAGCCCUAAAAAAAAAGGCGAAAAACCAAAACAAAAACAAAAACGCAGUGCUGGGAAAACUGGAUGGCUACAUCCAAAGAGAUGAAGUUGGACCCUCUUCCUUUACGUCAUAUACAAAACUUUCUCUAAAAUUUUUCAGGAUCAAAGACCUGAAAGACCUCAGAGAUCUAAGUAUAAAUACGUAAGUGAUGUAAUUAUAAAGGCCUAACAACUAAAACUAUAAACCUCUUAGAAGGAAACAUAGGAGAAACCCUUCAUGAUGGUGGGUUUGGGAAUGAUUUCUUGGAUAUGACAGCAGAAGGACAGGCAACAAAAGUAAAAAUCCAUCCAUUUGGACUCCAUCAAAAUUGAAAACUUCAGUGUUCCCGUUUUGGCUCAGCAGUAACGAACCCAGCCAGUAUCCAUCAGGAUGCGGGUUUGAUCCCUGCCCCUGCUUAGUGGGUUAAGGAUCUGGUGUGGCUGUGGCUGUGGUGUAGGCCAGCAGCUAGAGCUCCAGUUCAACCCCUAGCCUGGGGACCUUCAUAUACCUCGAGUGUGGACCUAAAAAAAAAAAAAAAAUUGAAAAACUUCUGUUCAUCAAAGAACACAGUUGACAGGGUAAAAAGGCCACCUACAGGAUGGGAGAAAGUAUUUUCAAAUCACAUAUGCGGUAAGGGAUUAAUAUUCAGAAUAUAUAAAGAAUAACAACACACCACAAAACUCCCCAAAUAACCGAGUUAUAAGACAGGCAAGGACUUGAACAGAUAUUUUUCCAAAGAAGCUACACAAAGGGCCACGAACACAGGGAAGAAUGUUCGAUACCUCUUAGCAUUAGGGGAAAAGCGAAUCAGAACCAGGACAGAAAUUAACAAGUGCCGGUGAGGAUGCGGAGAAACCGGAACCCUUUGGGGCUGCUGCUCGGCCUGUGAAGUGGCGGAACAGCCACUGUGGAAAACAGCGUGGCAGUUCCUCAAAGUUGCAGGAGGUGCCUGGUGGCCUAAUGGUUAGGACUUGGUGGUUUCACUGCUGCACCCUGAGUUCAGUCCUUGGUCUGGAAACGGAGAUCCUAUAGCAAGCCAUUGCCUGCUGUGGCCAAAAAACAAACGAACAAAAAACCCCCUGAAGAUGUUCAGCUUUGCAAGACGAAAUGUGUUCUGAAGGCUGCCUGCACAGCAGUGUGAGCAAAUCUACCAUGGCUGAGUCAUACACAUAAAAAUGGAGAAGAUGUUGAAUGUUAGGUUAACAAAUUUUGAUUUUGUGCAUAUUUUACAUUAAAAACUAUUUGAGAAAAAAGUACACUCCUUCCAAUUUCCAGUUUGGGGUGCUUAUGCGUACUGGUACAAACACUUGUGCAGGAUUUUGUUGUGGACGUGUUUUCCUUUCUCUAGGGUAACUCAUAGAAGUAGGAGUGCCGAGUCGUAAGGUAAGUAUGAGUUUAUAAGAAAUUUGCCAAGCUGUUUUUCACGGUGGUUGUAUUUUGUCACGCUAAUGUGUGAAAGCUACGGUGGUUCCACCGGCUGGCCAGCAGUUAGUGUUGCUAUUUUUCCCCUUCCAUUCUUAUAGGUGUGUAAUGAUUAUCUCAUUGUGGUUUUUUUGGGGUGGGGGCUGCACCCUUGGCAUCAAGAAGUUCCUGGGCGGGGAUCGAACC
rnacentral:lncRNA from 9 species